rnacentral:rRNA from 1 species
UACGGGGGGGGCAAGCGUUGUUCGGAAUUACUGGGCGUAAAGGGCUCGUAGGCGGCCAACUAAGUCGGAUGUGAAAUCCCCAGGCUCAACCUGGGAACUGCAUCCGAUACUGGAUGGCUUGAAUUCGGGAGAGGGAUGCAGAAUUCCAGGUGUAGCGGUGAAAUGCGUAGAUAUCUGGAGGAAUACCGGUGGCGAAGGCGGCAUCCUGGACCGACAUUUGACGCUGAGGAGCGAAAGCCAGGGGAGCAAACGGG